ACGCCUAUAAUCCCAGUACUUCAGGAGGCUGAGGCGGGCAGAUUACCUGAGCUCAGGAUUUUGCGACCAGCCUGGGCAACAUGGUGAAACCCUGUCUUUACUAAAAUACAAAAUAUUAGCUGGGCAUGGCAGCGUGCACCUGUAGUCCAGCUACUUGGGAGGCUGAGGCAGGAGAAUUGCUUGAACCCAGGAGAUGGAGGUUGCAGUGAGCCAAGAUCAUGCCACUGCACUCCAGCCUGGGUGACAGCGAGACUCCGUCUCAAAAAAAAAAAAAAGAAGAAGAAGAAGAAGAAGAGAACCCUGAUAAAGAAAACAUCAUGAAAGUCUGGAAGGAUUACACCACUGAAGAUGCCAUUGUUAUAGAAAAAGCUGUGAAAGACAUCAACACGAAACAAAUUUCUGCUGAAGAAAACUGUGUCCAAGUGUUGUGCACAUCUUCACAGGAUUUACGACAGAGCCAAUCAAUGAAAUCAUGAAAGAUAUGGUAGAUAUGAAAAGAAAGGUGGGGUGGAGGGUGGAGCAUUUCAAAAUUUGGAUCUUGGAGAAAUUCAAGAGCUAACAGACACAACACCAGAGAUAUUAACAGAAAAUGGCUUGAUAGAGAUGAGUGCCUCCAAACCACUGCCAGAUAAUGAAGAAGAUGUAAAAGCAGCAAUGCCAGAAAAGAAACUGACAUUAGACAAUCUGGCAGAAGGGCUCCGAUUUUUCAAGACUACUUGACUUCUUUUACAACAUGGACCCUUCUAUACAGGCAAUGAAACUAAAGCAAAUGGUGGGAAAAGAACUGUUACCACAUAAAACAAUUUUUAGAGACAUAAAAAAGUAAAACAGUCAGACAGAAAUUACUACGUAUUUCCAUGAAGUCACAGCAAGUACGCCUUUCUCUCUUGCCUCCCCUUCCACCUCCUGCCAUGCCUAACACAGCAAGACCAACCCCUCCUCUUCCUCCUCAGCCUACUCAAUGUGAAGACAAUGAGGAAGAAGACUUAUGAUGAUGAUCCACUUCCCACUUAAUGAAUACCUCUCCUCACAGAACGGACGCUCUACCUUGAGCAUGGCACCACUGAGAACACCAGGGCCCUGAUCGCCUUUACCCAGUUCGUAAGGCAGCAGAGGCAAGUUCUACGCCAGCAGAGCUUGCAUUCUAUUUAUGUUGGACAGCGCAGCUCGGAGCCUUAGUUGCCUCGGCGAUGAAAUGGGGCUAACACCCACCUCGAGCGGUUACUGUAAGGAUCCAGUGAAUUAAAGCUGGUAAACGUUUGGCAUAUGCCAAGCAAAGGGCAGAUGCCAAGGCAGGCGCUCGCACCAGAAGAGACUGAGAAGUGGUUGAAGCCGCCCUCACCUGGCUUCCAGCUACUGCAAGGACAGCCUUUGGGGGACACGCCUUCCUUCUUCCUCUGGUAGACCAGAAGCUGGACUAUCACCCCAGGAACCCGAGGCCGCCCCAGAGUCUGCUGUGCUGCCAGCCAAGGGGUUGGUGAGUGAGGCGGGGGUCGCUCCUUCCCACAAGCUGGUCUCACUGAGCAGAAACAGGGGUGCAGUGAGGAGGAACUCCAAAGCUGGGGCGGCCUGCUCGGAGGACGGCCGCGCAGGCUAAAAGAGCGGCCCGCGGAGAAGGCAAGGAGGCGGCUCGGCUCCCCGGAAGUCAGCCUCGGCGGCCCCACCUACCUGCCCUGCAGAUUCCCCGAAUGCCGCGGCGGCCGCAGCUCCCGAGGCUGCGACGGCUUCUCCUCGUUCCACACGGCCCACUGGCUCCUGGUCCAUCGUCGUCGCCACCACAGGGCUGCUGGCGCUGGUGAGAAAGAGGGUAAUGGCCGGUAAGCCCACUUCCAUCCUUGGUCUCCCCGCCCAGUCGCUGGCCGAGCCAGGCUGUCGGGAAGUGGGACUCACCCGCAGCGCCCGCCUCGCGCCGCGCCUAGCCAAGUCUCUGAGAAGGGGACUCCCGGCCUGAGGGGCGGGGCCAGCCCGCGCCUCGCCUAGCCCGCCUGGCUCCGCACCCCGAGAGCUGGCCGCCUGCAGUCUGGGAGGCGCAACUACCGGCUCGCGCGGGGCGGGGCGGGGCGGGUCCUUGCGGGGCGUCGCUUCCGGCCAAGCAAGCAUCCAGAGCUCGUGGAUCCCCGCCUGGCACCGCCUGUGACGUCAUUCCUGGUACGUGUACCUGAAGCCUGGCGUCUCGACCUCGGCGCAGCCCGUCACCAGCGGCGUCCGGGGCAGUCACCCCGCAGGACCUCGGUUUUUGCACUUGUAAAAUGAAGACAGCUGUGUCGUUGUACUUCAAAGGCUAGUAAUGGGAUGUGGUUGCUGAAAAAUGUAAAAUGUACGGCUCGUGCUGCACUUUCCAUUCCAAACGUGGGUGACAGUCCAGCCAAAAUACCCUCGAAAGAAGAACCCCAGGCGUGAUAUUUGCUUACUCUUGUCUGAAAUACCUAAGUAUAACUGUAGAAAGUGUUAAGUGAAAAGACCUGAAGGAGAGCAAAGGGCAGUAGUAAGCUUCCAUCUUGACAAAUGUAAGGAAUGUUUUAUCUGUGUCUUAAAGUCGUGUGCGUGUGUUAGAGGGGGCGUCCCAGAUUUUUUCCGUCUUUCGCAAUGUUCAACCAAAGUAAAAAAUCAUGCAAUUACUGCAUGACUUCAACAUCAAACAAGUCUGAGGUUCUGCAGGUAAAUGGUUUAUUGUUGUUUUAGCAUGAAAGUUUUCACAAAUAUGUAGGGGGCAAAACCAAAACAUACAUUAUUUUGGCUAUGGGAGGCUUCAUUUGAUACUUUAAAUUCCAUUUUCAUACUAGUCUCAAUUCAGAAAUGCUCCCUAAAGUUGUAUGACCUUGUAAAUGUUUUUCAUCAUAACAACAGCAGGCCCAAACAUUAAAUAUUCCUUUCUCUUCUGUGC